AAUAUCAGAUCUACACUACAAGAUUAUAUUGGCCAAAAUAUCUCACAAUAAUGAUAUUAUUGCGAUAUAUCUAUAGAAAUGUUGGAGCAAAUAAUAAUGCUAUCAGUCAAAUUCAUCUUUAACUUUGUUUAUUGUGUGUUUUGUCUCUUUUUU